rnacentral:rRNA from 1 species
GAUUUAAGAUUAUGUGUGCUUAAUGGAUUGUGCAUGUAGUUAUAAUUGUUCCAGGAAAACUAAGCAAAUAUAGGACCGUACCGAAAACCGACACAGGUGGACAGGUGUUAAUGUACCAAGGCGUUUGGAAGAAUGAUGUUGAAGGAACUCGGCAAAAUACUCUCGUAACUUCGGGAAAAGAGAGACUUUAUUGUGGGCAACCACAGUUGAGUGGCACAGAAAUGAGGGUGGCGACUGUUUACCAAAAACACAGGACUAUGCUUAACUCCAAAAGAGGAUGUAUAUAGUCUGACGCCUGCCCAGUGCUAGAAGGUUAAUAGGAGAUGUGCAAGCAUUGAAUGGAAGCCCUAGUAAACGGCGGCCGUAACCGUAACGGUCCUAAGGUAGCGAAAUUCCUUGUCAGGUAAGUUCUGACGCGCAUGAAUGGCGUAACGACUGCCCUACUGUCUCCAGCAUCACUUCAGUGAAAUUGAAUUCUCCGUGAAAAAUGCGGAGUUCCCGUGGUUAGACGGAUAGACCCCGUGC